rnacentral:tRNA from 1 species
GGCCUCAUAACUCAGAGGGUUAGAGGAUUGGCUGUACUGAAGCCUUCCCCUUGCAGCCAUGGGUUCAAGUCCCACUGAGGCCG